rnacentral:rRNA from 1 species
CCCAGACUCCUACGGGAGGCAGCAGUGGGGGAUAUUGCACAAUGGGGGAAACCCUGAUGCAGCAACGCCGCGUGAGUGAAGAAGUAUUUCGGUAUGUAAAGCUCUAUCAGCAGGGAAGAGAAUGACGGUACCUGACUAAGAAGCCCCGGCUAACUACGUGCCAGCAGCCGCGGUAAUACGUAGGGGGCGAGCGUUAUCCGGAUUUACUGGGUGUAAAGGGAGCGUAGACGGCUGGUCAAGUCUGAAGUGAAAGCCCGGGGCUUAACCCCGGAACGGCUUUGGAAACUGAGCAGCUAGAGUGCUGGAGAGGUAAGCGGAAUUCCUAGUGUAGCGGUGAAAUGCGUAGAUAUUAGGAGGAACACCAGUGGCGAAGGCGGCUUACUGGACAGUAACUGACGUUGAGGCUCGAAAGCGUGGGGAGCAAACAGGAUUAGAUACCCGUGUACA